rnacentral:rRNA from 1 species
UUCCAGACUCCUACGGGAGGCAGCAGUGAGGAAUAUUGGUCAAUGGGCGAGAGCCUGAACCAGCCAAGUCGCGUGAGGGAAGACGGUCCUAUGGAUUGUAAACCUCUUUUGCCGGGGAGCAAAAAGCGGUACGUGUACCGCAUCGAGAGUACCCGGAGAAAAAGCAUCGGCUAACUCCGUGCCAGCAGCCGCGGUAAUGCGGAGGAUGCGAGCGUUAUCCGGAUUUAUUGGGUUUAAAGGGUGCGUAGGCGGAUUUUUAAGUCAGCGGUAAAAUGUCCGGGCUCAACCCGGGCCGGCCGUUGAAACUGGGGAUCUUGAGUGGGCGAGAAGUAUGCGGAAUGCGUGGUGUAGCGGUGAAAUGCAUAGAUAUCACGCAGAACUCCGAUUGCGAAGGCAGCAUACCGGCGCCCGACUGACGCUGAGGCACGAAAGCGUGGGGAUCGAACAGGAUUAGAUACCCGUGUAGAA